CCAUUAUGCCUUCCGGAAAAGUAUCAAAACGUCAAAGUUGCCCAAUACGCCUCGUUUACAACAGACUCACCUGAAUAGCUUAUGAGUAUAAUCGACGUAAAUGAAAUAGCGACCUGGUUCUGCAACAGUCUUUCCACGCUCGUCGACACAGUAUUUGGGGAUAUCGAUACGAAAUCUCCAAAAAUCUCCUCUAAAACCUCAGUUAGCCCCAAAACCCAGCAGCGGCCGAAUCAUUCAUGGGUCAAAACUCUGGAUUAGAUUCUUCUACGGACGUUCCGCCUACCGAGGAGUAAAACGCUGAGCCAUGUAGGCCUACGGCUCAUUGAAUCGUUCCCGCUGUGGUGACACAGGCAGCUUGGAAUCCGGUGACGCCAAAAUUAAGCCACGUCAUUCUAGCAGAUUCUAGUAGUGCCAGCGACUAUUAUCGCAGCGGCAGCACUGGAAGUUCGGUUACUUUUAAGUCCACACAAGACGGAAUCUAUUGGUCGCCGUUCCGGUGCUCUUCGAUACAGUCAAGCACCGACCGUCAAAUCUGGAGGAGUUAGUUACAGCCUUUCUAAACUGCCCUCACCCGGUGCUUCCCUAUCACCCGCUUCACCUAUCCGAGGAGUAUUUGAUUUCAACAAUGUGGAUCCUUUUGGGUUUACAUACUGCCGUAAUGUCAUACUGAAUCUCUAAGAUAUUAAAGCCAUAUUCAGAAAAAGUUCUUUGUUGCUGUUUAAUUUUUGUACAUGGAGAAUAUGCCAAGGUCCAUUUUUGCUGCCAUGUGUUCUGUAUACUGUUAAACUGAACUGAAAAAAACCCUUUUUCAGGUUUUUCCCUCACUGAUUUAAAAUCAAUCAGAUUAACCCCUCAGCGUUUUGCCACAUCCAUUGGUGGAAAAUAAAAAUAUACAGAGUUGGAUUAACCCCGAAGCCGGUGCCGGUGUUUUCCUGGAGUCUGUGGUGCUUCACUGACGAGUUAGGCCCCUUCAGUGGUCGCUUCCGUCCGCUGUGACACACCUGUAUUCACUCACCUCGGGAUAAUGACCAGGUACCUGUUAAUUUACUUAGUUUCGUAGAUUUUCUACGAAUUCUACGAAUUAAAUCAACCUACUUGAUUCAAACUCU